AAAUUACACUGAAGAUAUAAACAAUCAAUGGUGUCAAACUCAUUUUAAUUCAGGUUCCACAUACAGACACAUACAGUCUAAUUAGAUUUUAAGUGGGUCAGAACCAGUAAAAUACUAUCAUUAUAACGUAGAAAUUAUGACAACCCCCAAUUCUCUCUUUGGUUUUU